GGUUCCAAAAAUGUAACCACUACUCCUACUACUACUAGUAUAGCUAACUACUACUACACCUUUUUCUCUUUCUUUCUUUCUCUCUUUCUAUCUAUCUUUCUUACUAGGCAAACACCCUUUAUUUUUAAUUUUCUUUUUUAUCUUUUUCUUUUUGUUGUAGAACCAAAUGAUUAUGUUGAUUAUGGUGGUGGCUAGUAUAUUUUUUGAGAAAGAAAAAAAAGCCAAUAUAAAAAAGCCAAAUAUAUAUAUACCAUUAUAUAUUAUCAUCAGAAAACCAUGAAGAUCGAUCGGAAAAGAAACCUAGCUAUAACCUAGCUAGGUAUUAUUUGAUCAUAUAUAUAUAUUUAUAUAUGUAUAUGAGUGUAUAUAUAGUUGAUCCAUAUGAUAUAGAUCGAUGAUGAAGAUCAGUUUCAAUGGCGGGUGGGAAGCUUCUUUUGAGGUGAAUGUUGUCUGGCACGAGGUCACCAAUUUCAACUUUAUAAUUUAUUAAUUUUUGGCUGGUUAAUUAUUUACCGAUCAACCAUAUCAAAACUAUAUAUGAUUUUAUAUAUAUAUUUAUAGAUGUGUUUAUAUGGUUAAUAUUAGUGUCUUCGGACCAGGCUUCAUUCCCCUCAACUACUGCUUCGAUCAUCGAUCGAUCUCACUUCAUCAGGUGGGUUAUUCCAAGUUCUAGCAAAGAUCGAUUGAUCAUUAAUUUUAUGAUAUUUUUAUAAUCAAAUGAUCUUAUUAUUAGAUGUUGAAGAACUUGGUUGAUUUUUUAUAUGAUAACUUAUGAUAUUAUUCUUUAGGAAUAAACCAAACCCUAUAUUUUUGUAUUUGCUCAUAUAUUUCAUUAUAAGUUUAUAUAGUUAUGAUGAAUUUUAUGUGUUUGUUUUCUCAACUCUUUUUAAUUUCUCUAUAUGAUCAGUAGUAGUAAUUUCUCUUUAUCCUAUAUACACACACACACACACAUAUAUAUAUAUAGCUAGGGUUAUAAGAACUGCUGUAUACUUCUAUUAAUUCUUCAUUAAUAUUAUUCAAGAAUAUUGUACAAUAUAUACUAUAUAUAACUGUAAAUAAAAUUGUCCUAAUUAGUAUUAUUAUUAUUUUAUGAUAAUGAUCAUCUACUCUAAUAAAUUAAGUAAUUAAUAAGAUAGAGAUUUGUUUUUUGUUUUCUACUUCAUAUCUUCUUCUUAAUUUCCCAGUAAUUAAAAAUAUUUAGUAUAGUGGGAAACCAUGUGCAAAAGCUGUAAAUCUGCGUUUUCUGAUCAGCUUUACUAAAUGUUCUUUAAUUUUAAAUGUAUAUUAUUAUUAGACGACUGAUCAAUAUUUAUAUAUAUAUAUAUGUAUAUGUAUAUAUAAACUUGUAGUGGAAGACAUAGAUAUAUGGAUGAAUGAAUAAUUAACAUAGUGAUAUAUAGAUAUUCCUUUGUGAAAUUGAUUCUAUUUUUGACACUCUUUUUUUUAUUUUUCUCUUCUUUACGAAAAGAGGUAUCUUUCUGUCAUCUUUUGCAAAUCUUUCUUUUCUCUAGUCUUCUUUAUAUUCCUGUUCAUUUCAUCUUUCUUUUUCUUUUGAUUAGUUACUUUCUUUAUAUACAUUUUUGGAUAUAACAAAGUUAAUUCUACCGAUUUAAUAUCAUGAGAUUGUACAUUUAUACAAAAUAUAUAUAUAUAUCUUCUAUUCCUUUUUGCUGCAAAUUAUUAUAGUCUUGAUCAUAUGAUAUAUAUAUAUAAACUAUAAUAAUAGGUUGAUCCUUUAUUCAUUAAUCAUGCAUAUAUAACCUAAAAAGAGUAGUACAUUUUAUUCAAAAGUAAUGCUGAGAUUGCAUAUAUACAAAAAGAGUACAUCUAUACAUUUGUAUAUAUAUAUAUAAAUAUAUAUGACAGUAUAUUAACACUACUAUAUAUCGGUACGUGUGUGUACAUAUAUAGGACUCUCCUGACGAACUUUUCUCUUUUGCUGCAAUUAUAAACUUCAUGAGUAUACAUAGAUAGAUAUAUACAAAUAUACUUAUCCUAUAAAUAUAUAUAUAUAAGUCAUGUAUGUGUGCAUAUAUCUUGACCCUUAUACUACAUCUUCAAUUUGCAUAUAUAUAUAUAUAUAUAUCAUAUAUCUUGCUCGUUGCUUUGGAUAUAGACACAUAUAUAUAACAAUAAUGUUUUCUGAUAAUUAAGCUAGGUUAACUAAUAUAUUAUACUUCAUGUUUGUUGCUGUAUAGAUAUAUAUAUAGUGCAUAUAUAUAUAUAAUUCAUAAGGUCCUAAUGCUAACUUGAUUGGGACUUGGGAGUAUACAUAUGCAUUUGCUAGCUGUGACAUUGGCAUAAAUAUAUCAAUAUAUAUAUAUCGAUUACUGUAUAUUAUUAUAAACCAGGUAGUCUCACUGUUUUCAACAAGAGUAUAAUACAGUAAUAUAUAUUUAUACAUAUAUAUAUAUAUAUGUAUAGACACGUGAAGCUUAAGCGUAUAUACUAUUGAUUCUAAUGAUCAGUUUUAUUAAUUUUUAAAUUGGUGAAUAUAUAUAUAUAUUAUAUAAAUAUAUAAUAUAGUGAGUAGUGAGAUCGUAGUGGGUAGCAGGUGCAAUGUAUGCAAAGACAAAGUAAAAGAAUAUAUAUCUAGGGUAAAGAACUUUAAUUUGAUGAGGUGGGAAACAUAAAAAAGUUUUCAAGUACUAGCUGGAAUAUAUAUAUAUCGGUUUUAUUUAUAUAAUAAUUCUGGUAAUGUAUAUUGAUGAAAUACUAGCAUAUUAAUUAUUAUUAUAUAUAUAUAUGCAUUCAUUUUUGGAGAGAUGUGAAAACAAGCACUUAAUCUAUAAUUAAGCAUGUACAUAUGUAUAUAUAUAUAUAUAUAAUACUUUUACGGUGCACAAGGUGCUUGCCUUGUGUGUUUCAGGUCGGUGAAUAUUUUUCGGUGUUAUUUUUUUUUAUUCGCAUGGAACACAAUUUAUUUGAAUUUAGUGUUUGACACGAUAAAUUAUUCAAAAUUUCUUAAAAAUUUAUAGAAUAAUUUAAAUAACUAAAAUAUACACGAUUUUAAAAAAAAAAUCGAUGCAAAAUUUGUUCACUAUCCAACAAAAAAAACACAAAAAGUUUGCAUCCUAUAUAUAUAUAUAUAAGCGACAAAUUAAAAGGGCGAGUGACUAGCUAUAGGUUUUAUCUAUGAAAGCUAAGAAAAACAUAACAAAUUGGCCGAUAUGGCCACCAACCGACCAAAUGCUGAAGUUGCUAUAAAGGCCGGUUAACAAAGGCGUGCUGGGAUAGGUACAUUUUGCCAGCGCGUUUUGUUAAAAGCGCGGCAGCACUGUCUCAACAUAUGGUAUCUCCAACCCAUCCUUCCAUAUACGAGGCAGUGCUGUUUCAACAUAUGAUACAUCCAUACAUGUACGGAGCAACACCAUAACCUUAUUCGUGGCUAAUUCCACCGUCGUCGCAGCCACCGUAUCCCUACAUGUAUGGAGUAGGAUCGUCCACAUCACCUCCCCAAUAUCCCUGGCAGAUGCCGCCGCUGUAGCCACCACAACAACCACAGCUUCAACAAGAAGAUAAUAGGGAGGACAUGGCAGCUAAUUUAGGAGACUAGGUUUAUUUUAUUGUUAGUUAUUGUUACAUUAUAUGAACAAUAUGGAUAUUUGUUAUCUUAAUAUAUUAAUAAUAUAGAUAAUUGUUAUCUUAAUGAACUAAUUUGAAUAUUUAAUAUAAUAUUUUUAUUUUUCA